rnacentral:rRNA from 1 species
CCAGUUCGGAUUGCAGGCUGCAACCCGCCUGUAUGAAGUUGGAAUCGCUAGUAACCGCGGAUCAGCAUGCCGCGGUGAAUACGUUCCCGGGCCUUGUACACACCGCCCGUCACACCAUGAGAGUCGGGAACACCCGAAGUCCGUAGCCUAACCGCAAGGGGGGCGCGGCCGAAGGUGGGUUCGAUAAUUGGGGUGAAGUCGUAACAAGGUACC